rnacentral:misc_RNA from 1 species
GAUGAAGAACGCAGCGAAAUGCGAUAAGUAAUGCGAAUUGCAGAUUUCAGUGAGUCAUCGAAUCUUUGAACGCACAUUGCGCCCGCCAGCACUCUGGCGGGCAUGCCUGUUCGAGCGUCAUUUCAACCAUCAAGCCCUAGGCUUGCGUUGGAGCCCUGCGGCUGCCGCAGGCCCCUAAAAGCAGUGGCGGGCUCGCUAUCACACCGAGUGCAGUAGAUUACUCUUCGCUCAGGGCGUGUGGCGGGUUCCAGCCGUGAAACCCCCUACUUCUCAAGGUUGACCUCGGAUCAGGUAGUAAUACCCGCUGAACUUAAGCAUAUCAAUAAGCGGAGGA